rnacentral:rRNA from 1 species
AUUGAACGCUAGCGGGAUGCCUUACACAUGCAAGUCGAACGGAGUGGCGAACGGGUGGGUAAUGAAUGGGUACGUGCCCGGUAGCGGGGGAUGAAUAAGCGCAAGCGUAGCUAAUACCGCACACUAUUCGACCGGCCGGUACGGGAUUAGCUAGUUGGUGGGGUAACGGCUCACCAAGGCGACGAUCCGUCGCUGGUUUGAGUGGACGAACAGCCACACUGGGACUGAGACACGGCCCAGACUCCUACGGGAGGCAGCAGUGGGGAAUUUUGGACAAUGGGGGAAACCCUGAUCCAGCCAUCCCGCGUGUGCGAAGAAGGCCUUCGGGUUGUAAAGCACUUUUAGCAGGAAAGCGGUACCUGCAGAAUAAGCACCGGCUAACUACGUGCCAGCAGCCGCGGUAAUUC